ensembl:snRNA U6 U6 spliceosomal RNA
GUGCUGAUUUUGUCAGCACAUACAGUAAAAUUGGAUCAAUACAGAAAUUAGCAUGGCCCCAGAACAAGGAUGACAUGCAGAUAAGCAAAGCAAAAUAUUGAU